CCAAAAUAUUCACUGAUUAUAAUACAAUAAAUUGACUUUAUUGAUGAGGUGCAGAGACUCCGCUACCCACUGUAAGAUAGCAGAGAGCAAAAUAAGAGAAAGAUCAGUGGGCAGAGAGCAAGACUUACCUAAUAGAUGCUCGUUGAGCUGCACAGAGGCAAGCAUGUUAGGAUUCAUGAUGUGUUUAUAGAUUGAUUGGACUUGGUGGAUUUCUUAUUGCCUAUUUACUUACUAUUCGAAUAUCAGUUGGAAUUGAUUCAUUUUCAAAAUAAUUAUUUGGUCGCUUUUUUCCUCUUUUUGUGACAGCACAAUCUAUCUAUACUGCUGUGUUUCAGAUUACCUACAGUACUCUAUGCAUUUCCUGUUGCCUACUGUGUACUGAAAAUUCAAAGUAAAUUAAAAAUUUAAGGGCAAAAUAGCCGAAAUGGAAAAAUUCUCUAAUUCAGCUAUGCUUUCAGUUCAGCUACUCUGGCCUUAAAUUUGAAAUUCACCUUGAAUUUACUUGGAAUUCUCACUAUAUUGAAUAACUAUCUUAUAGAAAACAUGAUAAGUGGAGUACUUUUAAAAAUUUUUUUUUUUUUAAACCCAAAUAAAUACCCCUUGUAGCGGAGCUCCCUGUACCCCAGCUGAGUACGUCCGCCAAGGACUGCUUCCUAGCUGGAACUGGGGAAAAUAUCAGCGCUUCUGCCCUAGUCGCUGUGGCUUAACUGGGGUCCUCCUGGAGCCUUUCUAAGUCCUGGAGCAGGAUAAGUGACUAGCUCUAUUCCCUCCCAGGGGCUGGACGACACAGUCUUGGGAGCUACAGUCCUUACAAGGACUUUCCCCACUGAAUCCUCCAUAAGUUGGAACAAGGUGCUGAGCAGUGAUUAGCCCUUUCCCUCCCAGUAACCAGAUGACACAUAGUCCUGGGAAUACAACUGAUUUUGAUGAGCCAAACUCAAACUCCCAGCAGGGGGUCUCCAUUGUAUUCAACACAAGCCCCUCCCAUGAAUCUAUGGGCCUGGGAGAUAAUUGUGUUAAAGACCAGUAAGCUAAUUAUCUCCCUGGAACAGAAAUGCAAACAGAAUAACAUAAAAGUACCCCAAAACAUAAUGAAAACAUAAAAUAACCCCACAUAUUAUACAUCCCCAAAUAGCCCUGAUCUGAGCACCCAAGUUCUUCAAAUAGCGCUCAGAUCAAUGCAGUGUAGGGGAAAUGCCACCGUGUUAAGAGUUAACGGAGUACCACAGACAGUAUACUUCAACAUUUACAAAGGUAAAGAAAUGGUACAUACUAAAUCCCUAACAAG